rnacentral:misc_RNA from 1 species
UCUCCGUUGGUGAACCAGCGGAGGGAUCAUUACAGGACUCGCAAGACUCCUACAACCCUGUGAACUUAACUAUAAGCACGUUGCUUCGGCGGGUGUCUCGGAGGGGGUUCUCCCUCCCCGAGACGCUAAACCCGCCGGCAGCCUACUAUACUCUGUCUCUUUGCGUUGGCAUCUCGAGUACAAUCAAACAAGUUAAAACUUUCAACAACGGAUCUCUUGGUUCUGACAUCGAUGAAGAACGCAGC